UUUGGUGGCGAUAGCGAAGAGGUCACACCCGUUCCCAUGCCGAACACGGAAGUUAAGCUCUUCAGCGCCGAUGGUAGUCGGGGUUUUC
rnacentral:rRNA from 1 species